rnacentral:rRNA from 1 species
AGCUCCAAUAGCGUAUAUUAAAGUUGUUGCAGUUAAAAAGCUCGUAGUUGGAUUUUUGGUUCGAUCUGCCGGCCCGGGCUAUUGUCUGUGGCUGUGCGGGUCGUCCUUUCUUGGGUGGAUCCUGUGUGGCAUUAGGUUGUCGCGCUGGGGAUGCCCAUCGUUUACUGUGAGAAAAUUAGAGUGUUCAAAGCAGGCUUAUGCCGUUGAAUAUGUUAGCAUGGAAUAAUAAGAUAGGACCUUGGUACUAUUUUGUUGGUUUGCGCACUGAGGUAAUGAUUAAUAGGGACAGUUGGGGGUAUUUGUAUUCCAUUGUCAGAGGUGAAAUUCUUGGAUUUUUGGAAGACAAACUACUGCGAAAGCAUUUACCAAGGAUGUUUUCAUUAAUCAAGAACGAAAGUAC